UCUAUAGCAACGACAAAGAAACCGUCCCGCUUGGUUCUGGGAAAGAUCUUCUGAAAUAAUUACAAUCCAUGCAAAUUUCCAGCUCCCCUGUAUCUCUCUCUGCAGUUCACCGGGUGGCCCAGCAGAGGGCACUGCAGUACCAGCAGGAAUGUCCCCUGUAUAGACAUGAUGACACACGACUGUUUCACCUCCCCAGGGUUUUCAUUCGUGAGGCCGCCUGCCUCCUCGCAGAGUAGGCGAGGAAACCCUGAAGGCAGCUACGACCAAACAGAUAGGGGAAGGGGGGGGGGGGAAUUGGCAACGGGAGGCAUUCACCGCCCGAGCUCCAGUGGAAGCACGGCUUGCCUGCUUUUAAAUCUCCGCUUGUCAGCAGAACCAGCUUCCAUUGUAGCUGCAAGAAAAGGAGAAAGCAAACAACUCGUGGAACUGGUCAGAGAGGAGCGAGGAAGCUCCCGCAGACAAGGAGCAGAGACUCCGAGAGGAUGUUAACAAUCCGGUUCUCUCUGGUUGUGAUGACUUUAGUAUUCAAAGGGAGCACUGGGGUGUCGGUGAUGCAGACGCAAGGCCCCGUGAGUAUGUCCGAGGGGGAAGGUUUGAGGCUUAAUUGUAGCUAUGAUGAUGCUACAGUGUAUGCCGUCUUCUGGUACGUGCAGUUCCCCAGCCAGCCCCCCCGGUUCCUCCUGAGGCACCUGGGACGGGAGGACUCCGAUGAAGGGAUCAGAAGAGGGUUCAAUGCCACCCACGAUAAAAAGAACAAAUCCUUCCACUUGUCGAAACCGGCCAGCGACCUGAGCGACUCCGGGACCUAUUACUGCGCCACAAGCAACACAGUAACACAGACCGGCCGGGGAACUGAGCAAAAACCGCACAGGGUCUGUGCGGAGCAGAGGGGAAGCGAGCACCGGGAGGGAAAGGGAGGAAUGUUGCAAACACAGAACUUGGAUCUCUGGUCGCCGGCUUGAUCCAAUCCAGGGCUUCAUCUUUUGGAGACACUAUAUGGCAUAGCAUGAAACAAAAUUAGCGUAACACCAAUACAGUCUGUCAAAGAAACUCACACAAACUCGACCGGGAUCAUCAGGGGAAAGUUCACAGUCUACAGGGAAACUGGCACUUUGGGGUGGAGGAAUAUUUUAAGUGCCAAGGAGAGGAAAAUCGACCCACAGACAGAGAGACAGACAGAAACAUCCUCCUUUGGCGCUAGUGCUGCUGGGAGAGCUGGUUUAUUGGCCGAUUUACCCCAAUCUCUUUCCGUU